CAAAUUGCCGGCGAGCCUAUACAUGCAGUCGAACGAACUCUGGUAUUGAUUGGUGCUUGCAUCAUGAUUUACAUUUGAGUGAGUGGCGAACUGGUGAGUAACACGUGGGAAACCUGCCCAGAAGCGGGGGAUAACACCUGGAAACAGAUGCUAAUACCGCAUAACAACUUGGACCGCAUGGUCCGAGUUUGAAAGAUGGCUUCGGCUAUCACUUUUGGAUGGUCCCGCGGCGUAUUAGCUAGAUGGUGGGGUAACGGCUCACCAUGGCAAUGAUACGUAGCCGACCUGAGAGGGUAAUCGGCCACAUUGGGACUGAGACACGGCCCAAACUCCUACGGGAGGCAGCAGUAGGGAAUCUUCCACAAUGGACGAAAGUCUGAUGGAGCAACGCCGCGUGAGUGAAGAAGGGUUUCGGCUCGUAAAACUCUGUUGUUAAAGAAAAACAUAUCUGACAACAACUGUGCACGUAUUGAAGAAAUUUACCA
rnacentral:rRNA from 2 species